UUUGUUUCUGUGUUGCUCGAUUCACAGCCUGUGUGAGGUACACAGUGCAUAAGAUCCCAGCCAGACCUGCUGGGGCUGGAAGGCAGCUCUGCAGAUCAUCUCGUCCAACCUCCCUGCCAAGGUAGGGCCACAGGCACAAGUGCAGGGUCGCGGCGUCAUAAAAGAGACGUAGGAAGGCUAAAAACUACAGGUACGUUCUGAGAUCGUAUAACCAAAGGUUAGAAAUUGCAGUAGGCAACCAAGUGCUUAUUUCCCCACUGUAUCUUGCAGAGCAGCAGUGUGGAAGUUGCUAAGUAGUGGCCCAUGUAUCCAAAAUGUUCCCAAAUAUGUAACUCUGUGCACAUUUGCCUGUUUCUUCCCUUCCCCUUUGAUAUACGCAACUUUGACACCAACGUGAUCAGUUUUUUAAAGGGAGAGAAGGGAAAAAAAUUACAAGUGUAAGAAAUGUUUAGCGGUUUUAGUUGUUGGGGUUUUUUGGGUUUUUUAAGCAUUUUAACCCAUGGUUGCUAACCUAAUUUUUAAGUACUGAUUUGCUGGAGAGAGAAGAUUUAACCGCUUUAGAUACCCUACUGAUAGUCCUAACAAAUCUGUGGAGCUUUGAGAAGAAAACUUGGUAAAUACUUACAUUUUCAUCAAGUAUGAAGCAGAAAAAAAUACCCAUGGAUGUUUUCAGCUCAGAGGAG